CCUACGGGAGGCAGCAGUGAGGAAUAUUGGUCAAUGGACGAGAGUCUGAACCAGCCAAGUAGCGUGAAGGAUGACUGCCCUAUGGGUUGUAAACUUCUUUUAUAUGGGAGUAAAAUGUUCCACGUGUGGGAUUUUGUAUGUACCAUAUGAAUAAGGAUCGGCUAACUCCGUGCCAGCAGCCGCGGUAAUACGGAGGAUCCGAGCGUUAUCCGGAUUUAUUGGGUUUAAAGGGAGCGUAGGUGGAUUGUUAAGUCAGUUGUGAAAGUUUGCGGCUCAACCGUAAAAUUGCAGUUGAAACUGGCAGUCUUGAGUACAGUAGAGGUGGGCAGAAUUCGUGGUGUAGCGGUGAAAUGCUUAGAUAUCACGAAGAACUCCGAUUGCGAAGGCAGUUCACUGGACUGCAACUGACACUGAGGCUCGAAAGUGUGGGUAUCAAACAGGAUUAGAUACCCCUGUAGUC
rnacentral:rRNA from 1 species